GUGUAUGGCCAUGCCACCCUGAAGAAGCCCGAUCACGUCUGAUCUCGGAAGCUAAGCAGGGUCAGGCCUGGUUAGUACUUGGAUGGGAGAUCACCUAUGAAGACAAAAGUAAAAAAUA
rnacentral:rRNA from 1 species